GAUUGCGCAGGCAGCUUACUAGGCCAUAACUGACGCUCAGGCACGAAGGCGUGGGGAUCAAACAGGAUUAGAUACCCUGGUAGUCCACGCAGUAAACUAUGAUUACUCGCUGUUUGCGAUACACCGUAAGCGGCUUAGCGAAAGCGUUAAGUAAUCCACCUGGGGAGUACGUUCGCAAGAAUGAAACUCAAAGGAAUUGACGGGGGCCCGCACAAGCGGAGGAACAUGUGGUUUAAUUCGAUGAUACGCGAGGAACCUUACCCGGGCUUGAAAUGCAUCUGACAGGAGCAGAGACGCUCUCUUCCUUCGGGACAGAUGUGUAGGUGCUGCAUGGUUGUCGUCAGCUCGUGCCGUGAGGUGUCGGCUUAAGUGCCAUAACGAGCGCAACCCUCAUCAUUAGUUACCAUCAGGUUAAGCUGGGGACUCUAAUGAGACUGCCAUCGUAAGAUGCGAGGAAGGUGGGGAUGACGUCAAAUCAGCACGGCCCUUACGUCCGGGGCGACACACGUGUUACAAUGGGUGGUACAAAGGGCAGCUACAUGGCGACAUGAUGCUAAUCUCCAAAACCACUCUCAGUUCGGAUCGGAGUCUGCAACUCGACUUCGUGAAGCUGGAUUCGCUAGUAAUCGCGCAUCAGCCACGGCGCGGUGAAUACGUUCCCGGGCCUUGUACACACCGCCCGUCAAGCCAUGGAAGCCGGGGGUACCUGAAGUUCGUAACCGUCAAAGGAGCGACCUAGGGUAAAACUGGUGACUGGGGCUAAGUCGUAACAAGGUAACC
rnacentral:rRNA from 1 species